rnacentral:rRNA from 1 species
UUUCCAAAGACAAUCCUUUUACAAUGAGCCUUACCACAUCGAAACACUUAAUGCUAUUAGUUGGUCCAGAAUUGUUACUUACAAAUCUCUUGUUUGAACCCUCAGUAUUUUUACUAUUCGGAUCUUGAGAUUCAUUUGAUCUAUUUCUUUUCUUUUAAUUUUUUCUUUUCUGCACAUUCUUCAUUGACCUUUCUUUCAAUUAUUAAUGCUUUAUUUACCACAUCUAUAUAAAUAGAUAAUUUAUAUGGUAUCACUUGUUUCUUAUUCUAUCUUUAGUCCCAUCUCAAAUAUAUGCACUCAAUUAUGCUCAUCCUCAACUAGUCUCGGAACAAAUUUGGCAAGCUUCGUAAACUUAGCUUCAUAUUCUGCAACCUUCAUAGUUCUUUAUUUUAGAUAAAUAAAUUUUUGUUCUUUCUGAAUCCUUACACUUUGAGAAAAAUACUGAUCAUAAAUAUCCUUCGAAAUCUCUCCUAGGUGAGUCGCUCCCUUUCUUGCUCAUAUUUAUAUUACAGUCUUUAAUACCAAUUGAAUGCUUCACAUUGUAAUAAUAAGCUGCAUAUUGAAUCUUUUCAUUAUCGCGGCACUCUUGGAUAGCGAAUGCCUUUCCAUCUCCAUAAUCCAAUUAUCAGCUUUCAAGAUUCAGUGGUCCCCUUGAAGGUUGUUGGAGCAAUCUUUUAAAUUUGUGAUAUUGUUUCACUACACCGGUUGUUCUCCAAGACUAUACUGUUGUGGUGUAUCUCGAUAUAUCUAUUACUGUUCAAGCAAUUACUACUGCCUUUGUAUUAUCCUAACUAGAGUUUGCAUUAAUUGAGCCAUAUCUAGUUCCGAUGCACUGUCGAAGUAGUCCCGAUCGGAUCAACCACUCCCUCCUGUUGGGGGGUGUCACUAAUCGAUUGAGAAGUACCACCUUCCUAUUGAUUUGAUGUCUCUCUAAUAGCUUCUCGAGCAAUUCUCUUUAUUCCAUGUGGAGCCAUUUUAACAAGCUUCUCAAAAUUUUUUUUUUAAAUCUAACAUCCAAAAUAUUUAAUCAUGUUCAAUCUUUUUUUUUGAAUAAAAUCCUAAAUUCUUAUAGGACCGGCUAUUCGAUAGUUAACGAUUACGAUUCUUUAUCAGGAUCUAUCAAAAUCAUUAGAGGAUCUUUCUAAGAAUCCAUUAAAACCUUAGAAGAGAGAGACCAUCCAGAGAGAGAUACUUUUAGAGAGAAAAUCAUAUUUUCUUUAGAGAGAGAAACUAGAGAGAGAAAGUGGAGAGAGAAAGUCAAACUUUUUUGAGAGAGAAAGUGAAAGUCUAAGAAGAGAGAAGGGAGAGAGGGAAGAGAGAGAAUAUCUCGCUCUUUUUCUUCUCAUUUUCUUUCUUUCUUUUCUUUUCUUUUUUUCCUCUUUCUUUCUUCCCGUUCUUAACAAUCGGUCCCUCUUGUUCUUGGGUCACAGGCCAUGACUGGUGGCCGGUGGCCAGGGGUAGUUGGUGCAGCUGCACCGUAGCCCAUUCAUCUCAGAUUAGUGCAGGUCGAUGAUGACCACCGGCAUCAGAAAAAUCUCAAAGAAAAAGGGGGCAGAACAUGGGAAAAGAGUAGGAGAUUUGUUUCCUUAAUUUUUUCGAUGAACCGCCGAUCGAAGAUGCUAUCUAAUGUCAUGAGAAGAAGAGCAAAAGAGAGACAAAGGAGGGUCAAUGCUAUCUUGGGCUCCGACGGCCUAUCUAGCUUGAUUUUUGAUAAUCAUGGUAAGGGCUUCCAUGAAGAAAUUUCUAGCAUUCCUCACUAGAUUGAGCCUCGAAUCUUGAUGGAAGGAAGAGGGAAGAUCCCUCCCCUUUAGAUAGGGCCAAAGGGGAGGAGUUCCACUUCUCUCCAUGGAGGAUUUCUGACUCCGUUGAGGAGUCAUUCAUGAAAGAAGACUCCUUAUGGGAGUCUUCCUCAAAUUUUUUUUUCUUUUUUUUAUUGCUUCAAGAAUCAUGCUUUGGGUGGGUAUUGUAGAUGGAGAUUGGCCCUUGAGUGCAAAGUAAAAGAUGUUUGAUUGCAACACCUACCCAUCGAGCAUGGAUGAAAGUCGACCUUAGUGAUCCAACAGUGCGAAGUAAAAACACUGCCGCUUAGUAGAUAAAAGUUACUCUAGGAAUAAUGGGUUGAUCUUCCCCAAGAGUUGCAUUGAUGGAAAGAUUUGGUACCUUGAUGUUAGCUCUUCGCCACUUGGGGCUAUAAUAUAUUCCAAAGGUUGGGAUGUUCACUGAUUAAAGCAAUACAUGAGUUGGGUUUAUAACAUUGUGAGGUAGUUCGAUCCAUAUCCGAUACGGGCUUAGAGCAUUGAGAGGACUUUUUCCUAGUAUCAAAGGAUGGGGAAGAAUGCACCUCUGAUGUAUCGAUAAUCAUGUCCUUGGUAAAUAUUGGGUAGCCAAGUGUGGAGCGGAUAACUACUAAAGGCCUCUAAGCAGUAGACAAGAUGAUUGCUCUCCUAUUCUGACUUUCCCAGAGCCUCCAGUAACAUAGCCGAGAUAGCGAUGGAUUUUGCUCUGUGGGGAUGAAGCGAUAGAAGUAUUGAGAAUCCAAGAUAAGAUUAUGACGAGACGAGCCAUUUAUCAUUACGAUAGGU